GCAGAUUCUCAGUGCUGUGUUGGAAGUUGAAUCAUUUCUGGAGUUCCCCUGCAAAUCUCUUGAUUUUUCCUUGGAAAUUUUUGCUCAUGUCAUGCUGGUGUGUUACAAGCAGCAAGGUGUGUGGUGAUGGUACAAAUGAGAAGAAAGGGAGAGCUGUGAGCAAGACCUGUAACUCAGGCCUGGAACCAAUAUAUUCCACAGCAUCAUGGUAAAAUAAUGG